rnacentral:miRNA from 1 species
UGAGACAGUGCGUCCUCCCUCA